rnacentral:rRNA from 1 species
AGUGAACGCUGGCGGUAGGCCUAACACAUGCAAGUCGAACGGCAGCACAGUAAGAGCUUGCUCUUACGGGUGGCGAGUGGCGGACGGGUGAGGAAUAUAUCGGAAUCUACUUUUUCGUGGGGGAUAACGUAGGGAAACUUACGCUAAUACCGCAUACGACGUACGGGUGAAAGCAGGGGAUCUUUGGACCUUGCGCGAUUGAAUGAGCCGGUGUGGGAUUAGCUAGUUGGCGGGGUAAAGGCCCACCGAGGCGACGAUGCGUAGCUUGGCUGAGAGGCUGGUGCCCGACUCAGGAGGUGAGACGCGGUCCAGGCUCCUACGGGAGGCAGCGGUGGCGAAUAUUGGAAGAUGGGGGCAAGCCUGAACCAGCCAUGCCGCGUGGGUGAAGAAGGCCUUCGGGUGGUAAAGCGCUUUUGUUGGGAAAGAAAGGCAGCAGGUUAAUCCCCCGCUGUUCUGCCGGUACCCAAAGAAUAAGCACCGGCUAACUUCGU